rnacentral:lncRNA from 1 species
UGACAGUCUCAGCAUUCUUUUUUAUUUUUACUGAAGUAUUUAUUUUCAUGUACAUACUCAAUCUAAAAAGUGUAUUUCUUUUGUAUUUUUAUAGAGAUUAAUUUUCUUUUUAUUAUUUUAAAGGACUGAAAUUUUCAAAAACAACCAAGAAGGAAAGCAACUGCUACUGGAAGAGGAGAGGCAAAGACAGCACCUGGUCCUACUGCUUUCCAACAAUGAUGCAUUUGCACUUAGACAACUCCAGUCCACAUGAGGCUGCCUCCAGUGUACUGUUUACCUAACAUGCUGAGUUCUAUCCUGGAUAUCCUGGUGUCUUCUUUGGGAAUCUCCUGAGGUACAUUAUUCAUGUCCAGCUUACUUCUUAUUUAUUGAUCCUGCCCUAAGAGGAGAAAGAGAAGUUUAAAUUUAGCAAUAGCUUAUUCUUACCCUAAGUCAAACAUUCUUAGUGGAAAAAUUACAGGUUAUUUAUUUUAAUUUUACAUUUGGAAUUACAAGGAUGAGAUAAAAUCAAAUUCUAGGGCUCAGAUAAUAAAAUAUAAUAAUAAACAUG